CCUGGCCAAGAUAUGAGGGAAAUCAUCCAUUUUUAUGCUUAGGUUCCACAAGGUAUGGACAGCCAUGCAGAAAUAGAAUUGGGCAAAUAGGGUCGGAGCUAAUGAGAAGAGCCUAAGUGGGGACACCCAGCCAGGCCUGUCUGUCUAGAUUCUUAUGGCCUCUCUGAGCAGUCUUCCUUCCUUCCUUCCUUCCAUCCAGGACCCUCUCUGGAGUGAGGGUCUUAAGAUCUACAGUCUAACAAGGCGAAAUACAACUAAGAAACACAACUUCCUACGUGGUAUGAAGUCACUCUGCUCUUCUGCCUGAGAAAAUUGUCAGAAUAGAAAUGGAGUCACGAAUGUUCACAAAACCCUGACCAAUAGGAUUGGAGAAGUCCUGAAGAGAAGAUUUUUGGGCUUGCAUGCCUGAUUUAAAAAAAAAAAGAGACUACAAAAACCACAGCCUUGCUCAGAGGACAUCGCCAGGGUACACAAAAAAGACAUUUGCAAGGACAUCUCCCCAGUAACCUCCUGUUUAACUUCGGACUGGUGUCACCCUUGUUAUUGAUAUUUCUAACCACAGAUAAUUAUUUCAAAACAAUUAUGUAAUUCUUCUUAUUUUUUUCCUUUAAAAACCUUUGUCUUCCUUUACCUCUCUGAAUACGCACUUACUUUUUACUAUGGCACACGUAUUCCCAUUGCAAUGCUUUAUUCCCAAAUAAAUUUCUUUUAGAGAGCUUGUCUCGGUUUAUUUCAGUUGACACCAAAUUUUCUAUGUGUAAGUGAAAAAAAGGUAGGGGGGAAUCAUAAAGUGUCAAAAUGGAGAGAUGUCUUCCAGAUGGUUCAGUCCAGUCCCUGUGUCUUACUAAAGGAGACUAAGCAUGUUAACACACACACACAAACACACACACACACACACACUCCAACC
rnacentral:lncRNA from 1 species